UGCCGCCACCCCCGCCGCCGACUCCACCUGACAGAACACCAUAAGCUCAUCCUCGCACCAGCGUAGGUAGUCGUCGUUGAACCCGUAAGCUGACGCCCUGACGAUGGUGUGUGCAGAGCCGCGGACGCCUUUCGGUGGGAAGCGGCAGUAGGAAACUGCGAGCUCGGCUUCCUGAGCUGACUCGAUCAUCGGGAACAUGACUCCUUGAGGGCCGAUGUCGAGGGCCUUCUUGGCCCAGGAGGCGGAGAGCUCUGGGACGCGGAUGAUGACAGGGGUGCCGGUGGCGGCGAGUGCGCGGAGGCAGGUGAGGGCGUCGGGGACACCGCCGGGGCCGUGCUCCAUGUCGACAACGACGUAGUCGUAUCCGGAGAGGCCGACGAUUUCAGCGAGGGUGGGGGAGUUGCUGAGGAGGAAGAUACCGUAGAGGGUGUCGCCGGCGGCGAGUCGGGAUUUGAGGGUGAGGGGGGACGGUUUGGAG
rnacentral:misc_RNA from 1 species